rnacentral:rRNA from 1 species
AGUCGAACGCGUUGGCCCAAUUGAUUGAUGGUGCUUGCACCUGAUUGAUUUUGGUCGCCAACGAGUGGCGGACGGGUGAGUAACACGUAGGUAACCUGCCCAGAAGCGGGGGACAACAUUUGGAAACAGAUGCUAAUACCGCAUAACANCGUUGUUCGCAUGAACAACGCUUAAAAGAUGGCUUCUCGCUAUCACUUCUGGAUGGACCUGCGGUGCAUUAGCUUGUUGGUGGGGUAACGGCCUACCAAGGCGAUGAUGCAUAGCCGAGUUGAGAGACUGAUCGGCCACAAUGGGACUGAGACACGGCCCAUACUCCUACGGGAGGCAGCAGUAGGGAAUCUUCCACAAUGGGCGCAAGCCUGAUGGAGCAACACCGCGUGAGUGAAGAAGGGUUUCGGCUCGUAAAGCUCUGUUGUUAAAGAAGAACACGUAUGAGAGUAACUGUUCAUNCGUUGACGGUAUUUAACCAGAAAGUCACGGCUAACUACGUGCCAGCAGCCGCGGUAAUACGUAGGUGGCAAGCGUUAUCCGGAUUUAUUGGGCGUAAAGAGAGUGCAGGCGGUUUUCUAAGUCUGAUGUGAAAGCCUUCGGCUUAACCGGAGAAGUGCAUCGGAAACUGGAUAACUUGAGUGCAGAAGAGGGUAGUGGAACUCCAUGUGUAGCGGUGGAAUGCGUAGAUAUAUGGAAGAACACCAGUGGCGAAGGCGGCUACCUGGUCUGCAACUGACGCUGAGACUCGAAAGCAUGGGUAGCGAACAGGAUUAGAUACCCUGGUAGUCCAUGCCGUAAACGAUGAGUGCUAGGUGUUGGAGGGUUUCCGCCCUUCAGUGCCGGAGCUAACGCAUUAAGCACUCCGCCUGGGGAGUACGACCGCAAGGUUGAAACUCAAAGGAAUUGACGGGGGCCCGCACAAGCGGUGGAGCAUGUGGUUUAAUUCGAAGCUACGCGAAGAACCUUACCAGGUCUUGACAUCUUGCGCCAACCCUAGAGAUAGGGCGUUUCCUUCGGGAACGCAAUGACAGGUGGUGCAUGGUCGUCGUCAGCUCGUGUCGUGAGAUGUUGGGUUAAGUCCCGCAACGAGCGCAACCCUUGUUACUAGUUGCCAGCAUUAAGUUGGGCACUCUAGUGAGACUGCCGGUGACAAACCGGAGGAAGGUGGGGACGACGUCAGAUCAUCAUGCCCCUUAUGACCUGGGCUACACACGUGCUACAAUGGACGGUACAACGAGUCGCGAACUCGCGAGGGCAAGCAAAUCUCUUAAAACCGUUCUCAGUUCGGACUGCAGGCUGCAACUCGCCUGCACGAAGUCGGAAUCGCUAGUAAUCGCGGAUCAGCAUGCCGCGGUGAAUACGUUCCCGGGCCUUGUACACACCGCCCGUCACACCAUGAGAGUUUGUAACACCCAAAGUCGGUGGGGUAACCUUUUAGGAGCCAGCCGCCUAA